UUUAAUUGAAGAGUUUGAUCAUGGCUCAGAUUGAACGCUGGCGGCAGGCCUAACACAUGCAAGUCGAACGGUAGCACAGAGGAGCUUGCUCCUUGGGUGACGAGUGGCGGACGGGUGAGUAAUGUCUGGGAAACUGCCCGAUGGAGGGGGAUAACUACUGGAAACGGUAGCUAAUACCGCAUAACGUC
rnacentral:rRNA from 1 species